UGGGGAAUAUUGGACAAUGGGGGCAACCCUGAUCCAGCAAUGCCGCGUGAGUGAUGAAGGCCUUAGGGUUGUAAAGCUCUUUUGGCGGGGACGAUGAUGACGGUACCCGCAGAAUAAGCCCCGGCUAACUUCGUGCCAGCAGCCGCGGUAAUACGAAGGGGGCGAGCGUUGUUCGGAAUUACUGGGCGUAAAGGGCGCGUAGGCGGCCGAUCAAGUCAGAUGUGAAAGUCCUGGGCUUAACCUGGGGACUGCAUUUGAUACUGAUUGGCUUGAAUGCAGGAGAGGAUAGCGGAAUUCCCAGUGUAGAGGUGAAAUUCGUAGAUAUUGGGAAGAACACCGGUGGCGAAGGCGGCUAUCUGGACUGUGAUUGACGCUGAGGCGCGAAAGCGUGGGGAGCAAACA
rnacentral:rRNA from 2 species